rnacentral:lncRNA from 1 species
ACUGCGGUGAUCAACUGGAGUCCUCGAAGAAGCAUCUGGGAAGAGGCGAAGCCCAAGGAGAUUGCCAACUUAACACACCGUCACUGCCUUGGCCUGGAAGCGGGAUGCCUCAGGACUCUGCACAGUGCUUGUGAAGAACUUGGCAUCAGGGACCCGCGUGGUGCUCAAGUCUCACCAUGGCUAUGAGGUGGAAGAGGUGAAAAUCCUGGGAAAGGAGCAUUAUUUGACGGCUCACACAUCAGAUACACUGCUGCUGGGAGACCUGAACACAAAUUGCCUUAGUGAGGUAGGAGCCAGGAAUAGAAGGGUGGGGAAGGGCCCCUUUGGCUUGCUGCUUCUGGGGACCCAGGGACUUGGGUAAGAUACCCACAGGAAGCUCUGACUUUCUCAUGUCUGGGUCCUGGUUUCAAGGAAUGAGAAGUUUAGAAUCCUGCAGGGUGAUUCACCAUAGUUGGACUAUUUCUGUGCCAUCUCGGAAACACAGGGACCAAGGCAAAAAUCUGACACAGUGUCUCUUGUACAAUGCCAAAACCCCCCUAAACUUGAUCUGUCUGCCUCCUACCUAUAAUUCUUUCAGCUUUGUCUUGGGUAAUUAUCCACAUUGUUUCCUUCUCUUCCUUUUACAGGUAGCCUGGCAGGGGUCUGGCAGCAAUGAAAAGUAUUUCUUUGAAAAUGAGAAUUCCACCUCCCUGUACCGUUUUUCUUCAUGCCUCCUGUAUGAUCUUCCAUGCUGGAGAGCUGACCCUGGUGGAAUAUGGGAGCAAUGAUACCUUGGGCUCUGUGCGUACUGAAUUCAUGAACCCUCACCUCAUCAGCAUCCGUAUUAAUGAGUGGCAUCAGCAAGGAAUGGAAGAUAAUAAGAAAUUGGCUUAUCUUGUUGAUAUUAAGACUAUUGCCGUAGUGGAUCUGAUUGGUGGCUACAAUAUUGGUACCAUCAGCCAUGAGAGCCAUGUGGAUUGGCUGGAACUUAAUGAGACUGGGCACAAGCUCCUCUUCAGGGACCAGAAACUUCAUUUGCAUCUGUAUGAUAUUGAAAGCUGCUCUAAGACAAUGAUCCUCAACUUCUGUUCCUAUGUGCAGUGGGUUCCUGGAAGUGAUGUCCUGGUAGCUCAGAACAGAAACAACUUGUGCGUGUGGUACAAUAUUGAGGUGACCGAGAGGGUCACCAUGUUCUCUUCUUCAUCAGGCAGGCAAGCUCAGUGCCUCACUUUUGACCGACAAGAAGUUCACCAACUCACAGUGGAACUUGGGAAUGUGUCUCUACAUGUCUCCCGACUGCGUGAACCUGCGCUCACACCACUUGCAGGCAUGCGGCUUCUCACGCGUGUGCAUCAUGGCGUGGAGGCUCAGGCUGUGCGAGUACUGGAAGCUCUUGCCGCACUGGGUGCACGUGUAGGGCUUCUCCCCCGAGUGAGUCCUCUCGUGGCGCUUGAGAGUGUACAUGCAGGAGAAAGUCUUCGCGCACAGCGAGCCCGUGGGCACGUUGACAUUGGCCGCUGGCUUGCUACGGAUGCCGUCCUGCUCCCGGAAGUGGGUGCUCAGGUGGAUCUGCAGGUAUACAUCCUAUCUCUGAGGAGGUUAGCUUGGGAAGUUUAA